rnacentral:lncRNA from 1 species
UUAAGGAUGUCUAGUCGUACAGGAAAGGGCAGGGGCGACUCCCCACUCUUCAAAACCCUAGAACUUCACUAAUCUUGCAAAUUGAAGGUCCAAUUCAGUCCAAAAUCGAAAUUUAAGCAUGGAUUAUUAAUCCUCAUCACAAGAGGAUUAAAAGUUUGAUCUCGUCAAGCUAAGUGGGAGCUGGAAAGGAAUGGAUCAAACGGAUCAUGGAUGCGAAGAAUGUUUGCGCGGACGCGAGGGUAAAACGGCUUAUGGAAUUUACGUGGCUAUGAAUCAGCAAAUUAUUAAGGCAAGGUAUUAAAACGGGUCAAUACUUUGACCCGCGCCAGGUUCAUUUUGGAUGCCGAGAGACGAUCAAGCUCAUCGAAGAACCGAACACGAUAUAGUUACAUGCUUCCGCACUUUGCCACGUUGUAUAUUUUAAACAACGAAUUCGAUCACGUUUUGUAGAAUAACUUAUGAAUUGUAAAAGUUUUAAUUUACUCGAAAUUUUCUAAGGAUACUUAACCUUAAAUACAUGUUUGUUUUCGUAAAUUAUACGAAAACCUUUAAAAUAAUAACUAGGGUGUUACAAUGUGUCGGGCCGAUCUUCUACUCGGUGUUGCACACACAAUAGGCCAACAUGUAUUGAUCGCAUCACUUCACAAGCAAAAUAGGAUGUACCCAAACAUUCAUCAAUUAGAUCGACAUACUUGCCUUCACUGUAAAGUCUCCAUGCCUAUAUAAAACACAAAUGUCAGAUCAUAUCAGUAGCUACACCUUCAUUAUUCAUUACACCAAAGUUCAUAUUACAAAUGGGUGGGUGUUUGUAGAGCUUCACUAGCCAUAUAUAUAGUACUCAUACUUCUCAUAUGUAGUUAGGGGACCCGGAGUGGAAACACUUUUCCCCGUGAUGGAAAUUGUUCAUGCGUGAUGGGGAGAAUAAUGUUGGUAAUCAAGCCCCUUUAUUCGAAUGUGGAUCUGGAUUUUAGUGUUGUUUUGGUGAACAAAAAAUACACAGAGAGAUGUUAACGAAUUUGUUGAAGGAAG